rnacentral:rRNA from 1 species
UACGUAGGUGGCGAGUGUUAUUCGGAUUUACUGGGCGUAAAGGGUUCGUAGGGGGCAUGCUAAGUCCGACGUGAAAGCUCAUGGCUUAACCAUGAAAUGUCGUUGGAUACUGGCAAGCUUUGAGGACUGGAGAGGAGAGUGGAAUUCCUGGUGUAGCGGUGGAAUGCGUAGAUAUCAGGAGGAACACCGAUGGCGAAGGC